rnacentral:rRNA from 1 species
GACGAACGCUGGCGGCGUGCUUAACACAUGCAAGUCGAACGGAAAGGCCCUGCUUUUGUGGGGUGCUCGAGUGGCGAACGGGUGAGUAACACGUGAGUAACCUGCCCUUGACUUUGGGAUAACUUCAGGAAACUGGGGCUAAUACCGGAUAGGAGCUCCUGCUGCAUGGUGGGGGUUGGAAAGUUUCGGCGGUUGGGGAUGGACUCGCGGCUUAUCAGCUUGUUGGUGGGGUAGUGGCUUACCAAGGCUUUGACGGGUAGCCGGCCUGAGAGGGUGACCGGCCACAUGGGGCCUGGGAUGCGGCCCAGACUCCUACGGGGGGCAGCGGGGGGGAUUAUUGCACAAGGGGCGGAAGCCGGCUGCGGCACCGCCGCGUGCGGGAUGACGGCCUUCGGGUUGUAAACCGCUUUCGCCUUUGCCGAAGCGGGGGUGCCGGUAAUGGGUAAAAAAGCCCCGGCUACCUUCGU